GAAGCGGCCGUCACAUGGCCGCGCGGCGCUGCCAUCAACACGCCAAGAUGGCGGCCCUCACGCCGCCCGCCCGCCCGUGCUGCGUCACGCCGCCCCCGGCCCCGCCGCGCUCCCGCAGGUUUCCUCGCGGUUUGGCUGAAGUCGGGAUGGAGGUCGCUUUGGUUCCCUCCGUCCCUCCCAGCGCUCUGCAGCGGCCUCAGACUGUGUACGUGCAGCCCGACGGAGGCAAUGCGGAGAUCAGCGUGUGCUAUAUGGCCCAGGGUUCUGCUGGAAUGAGGGUGAGAUCCUCUCUGGAGAAAAUGGCAUCAGCCGUGAGCGUAGGUGCAAUUAGAGUGCGUGCGUACCUGGAAUGGUCUUUUGUGCCAGGGUGCUGGGGAGGGGCAGCUCGCCUUUGCUGCCGUGCUUCUCCCUUUACACAGCGUAACAGCAACUGCUGGAGCGUGGAAUGAAAUCCUGAAGCUGAUCAACUAUAAAACAGCAAUUCUUCUCCCUUCACGUUGGCCUCUGAAAUGUAGGAUUCCUGUUUCUACCUUCAUUCUGUUCAGUUGAAAUUAGUAGAGUUUUACCGCUGGCAUAAUAAUGGUAACGUGAAAACAUUUCGGAGUGAGAACAAAUUGUUCAUUUCUUGCUUCCUUUUUAGAGGCUGUGUCUGUAUGUGCAGGAUUUCACGAGGUUGUUUUUUUUUACAAAGUUUUGUUUGUUUUUCCUGCAGCAGCAGAUGAUGUAAUUAAUUACAGUGGAUGGUGAAUCCGCACGUUUUAGACUAUAUGUUUAAGUCAUCCGUGUCAUCAUCUGACAUCAACAUUGCAUAAUCUGUUGACUGUCCCCUUUUUAUGUAAUGUAUGUUUGUAGUUUGUUUUAAAAUGUACAAAUAUUUUUUUCCACUGCGUGCUUCUGCUCAGCUAUUUCAUGUUUGUCUCUCCGUUGCCCUCUUCAGUUAAAAACUUGUAAGACACCAUUUUGAUAGCUGGAUCCAUCCGAGUGCUACGUCUUUCUCUUUUAGAAACAAUCUCUGUGACAUCUCUGGAUGUGCCCUUUCCAGGUAAGUCAGCUGGUUAGAACACUGACCCACAUCUGGAGUUUCUUCUCCCUCGUGUUUGAAAUACGGGGACAUCUUGUACUGAUGAAGUCCAUCAGCAUCAUAAAUUAAGUUUUUAAUAAUAUACUAGAAGCAAAUGAACUUUUACAUGUUUUUUUUUUUAAUAUGCUUAUUUCAGAGCUCAGUGUAUUCAAUUCCCUUAAUCAAAGGUGUGUGUACGUAGAAUUAGUCCCACAAUCUUUUUAGCAAUCCGUAUUUAAAAAAAAAAAAGGGAGGGGGGGAAAUACAGGUAGACAAAAGUUUAACUUGAUUGCAGUAUGCUUGUUUAUUUCACAAUUUUAUGCUUGGAUCUUACCACCUAAAAAUGCCAGUUGCAGAGUGAAGCAUCUAGAGCCCACAGGCACCGCUUCUGCCAAUGCCGGCUGUGGUCACUCGUCAGCAGUGGCUGCUUGCCGUUCGGUGCUGCUCCAUCAGAGCCAUCAGCAGGCAUAGGAGCGGGUGUCUGCGAUCCCGGCUCUCUGAGUGCAUGUGACCAGCUCUGAUUAAGCCCAGCUGAAUGUGUUCGUGGCGCUGUAAAAUUCCACCGCCCGCCAGCCUGCUCCGCUGCCUGGGCGAGAGCCCGGCGUGCUCAGUGCAGUAUGCAGCGUGGUCACAGUGUGGUGCUGCCCUCGUACUCGUGCUGCGAGCGAUCCCAGCCUUUAGCUGUUGCACGCAGUGUGGCACCAUUAACUCACCUGGCCCUUGGCCAGGUGUGCGCACUGUCUAGUUCAUGGCAUUCAGCACUUGAGUAGCAGGAAACAAAUGCUGCCUUCAGGCUCCGAUGAAUUUAAGGAGAGGGGGUUGCCUUCAUUCUCUCCAGCAUUAUUUAUAGAGAUAUAAGUUAAGAUUUCUUUGUUCAGUCUAGCAUUGGUGAGUUGGAUUUUUAAGGGUGAUUCAGCCAGAGGUUACUGUGGCCAUUAUGGUAGCACUAUGAUUGCAGUAAUUUCUUGGGCUCGUGCCCCAGAUGCAAAGCACUUCUGUUAGAUGCUCCUGAGCCUCUCACAUGGCAGCUGGGGAACCCGUCGGGGUGAUCCAAGGUUCUGAGACAUGCAAGGGAUGGGGAAUGGAGGAAACGUCUGCUGGGCCCAGCAGCAUUGCGGAGGGGCCACGAUGACUGACAGGCUGCCCUGGCUCAGUUAUCACAGUGCUGAUGCUGUCUCUUGUAAAGGUACAGUACUGUGAUAACUGAAGGAUGGCAGCCAUCUGAGCUUCAGAGGCCCUUGCCUGCAGCUGAUGGAUGGACAUACAGCACAGCGUCCUGCUGAGGUGGGUGUCCUCGUUCUAAAAAUACACCUAAUGUAAAAAUCAAGACAAGGUUUACUUGAAUAAAGAUUACACUUUAUUGACAGUUUGCUUCUUAAUCGGCUGUUUUGGUGUGUGAGAUCUUCCAGAAAUGCUGUGCUUGAGAAGCUUCAAAAAUGGUUCUGACAGAGUGAAAAAUGAUUCUGAAAGGGUCCUGUACAAGUUGGGGAGUACUGGAAUGGGGAGGUGAGGAGGUGUGGGUUGGAUACGUGGUAUAGGAAGACAGGGAAACUACUCUGAAGUUAUACAGAAACUCCUUUUUAGAUACAUUUUAAUGUUUCUUGUUACAGAUAGCAUGGUUUUAGCUGACUACUGUCCUAACUUGCUGUCUGUACCCUCUGUUAAGUGGCUGUAGGCACUGAGACAGGGCUCAUCUCACAGUCUGUCUGCAGCCCAAGGCCACAUGGCUGCAAGCAGCCAGCAGUUGGGUUGUUAGGGGCUGAGGUUUCCCUGCCUCCAUGACUGGGACUGCAAAUCCCUCAGGUAAUUUCUCACAUUUCCACCCAAACCUCUAAGAAAGGUUCUGGAGUCCUUGGCAGUGCUGCAGCACCCCCCUUCUCACCCUCAGGGCAGCAGCAGGCCUGGAGAAGCUGCAGCACUUUGCAGAGCUUGCGGUUUAGUCCUGAACUGGAGUUAGAACCAAGUUCAUUAACCCCGCAGCAUUUAGAGAGCUAUUCCUUCAGGGCUGGGUGAUUCAUAACUGCCUGGGCCUUGCCCUGUGCUUCCCUGCCGGGGAGGACAAGGAUUGCCUCAGCCCAUGGCCACUCUCAAGCAGUAAUUACGUAGUUUAUGUUUUCUCUGAUCUUUACUGGAAGGCAGCUCUGCCAGGCUGUGCUGCUGGCUGUCUGUGAGCCAGCAGGGUCAGUGCUGUGCCACUGCCAUGGAGCAUCAUGCCAGCCUGCGUCAUCUGAGCAGGGAAAAUUAUUGGUGCUGAUAGUCGCUGGAACCUGCUUGUGGAGGAGGGCUUUGUUGUACCAGAUGCUGUGCAGAUGAUAAAAAGACAUCCUGCUACCAAGAGUUAAAAGUUCUAGAUAGAUUAACAUCUAAGCAGAGCCAACCCUCGACUUCCUUUCUGCCUCCUCCCAGAGCCCGAGAGGAGGAACCCCUGGCCCCAACAUGCAGAGCUGGUCACCUCCCCAGCAGCACAACGCCCUCGCUGCCCGGUGUGUGUCACACUGUGCUCAUCGCAGCAUGGAGCAGCUGGCUGGGGCUGGGCCUCUUCCCCAUGAGAAGGAAGAUAACUGCGCAGGGGCAGACACAAGUUUUGCUGUCUUACCAGAUCCGAGGAAUAAGAUUCCCUAUCUGCCUGGUCUGUGGUAGGAUUCUGGGUUGAUAAGCUACCUGGACCAUUUAGUGAGACAUCGUAACUGCAGCAUGCACUAAGCAUUGGUGAAAGAGAGCAAAACUGCUAGUUGAAAUGACAUAUCUCUGGGCUUCAGAUUGUGAUUCUCAUUUCCUGUUAAAAUAAGUACAGCUUUGAGUUUUGGCAUGGGACAGGAACUGAAAAUGCUGUCUGUGCCUCAAAACAGCACCUCUCUGAUCAGAUUUAAUGGGAGCCUUUAUCUCUCUAGCUCAGCGAACACAGUCCGUCUUUCCUGUCGCUUCCUACUGAUAUCAUAAUCGGGCAGACUUAUAAAUACCCGUGGGUUUGCUAUGUCUAAAUAUUGCUACAUGCAAACAAUGCAGCUAUCGAGUCCUUUUUGGCAGUGGAACACUUCCUCCCACUAACUGUGUUAAAGCAAGAUGUAAAAAACAUGCAUAUAGUGACGUAUCACAUCACUUUCUGCUCAAAAGUAAGCCCUCUGAAGACAGUCCAUUUUCUGAUAGAACGUGCUGCAAUGUAUGCUUUUGAUCCCAAGGAAAGUCGAUCUUCUUGUGACCUAUCUCAGCUGUCAUUCUGGAUGGAUUUGUUCCACCCCAGUGGUUCUCAGGCUUUUUCGGCAGGAAAGUCCCUUUUCCCAUCUGGAGGCUGUCGCUUUCCCACCCACGUUCUGCCUGAGAAGAACAGCAGUUCUGCUCCUGUGAUAUCUCCUCAGGGCUGUGAUUCUGCAGACCAGAACAGCAGCUCUGCUCCUGGCUCUCAUCCAUCAGCCAUCCUUUUAAGGGGAGACGCAAGCUGCUACCUGCUUCUGACAACAGUGGGAUAAAGAAACAUCCAUUGUCCGCUAGCACUGAACCUUGGAACCAGGUGGAGGUUUUGUCUUUUCCCAUUUAAGAAAAAAAAAAUAUUUCUUAAUGUGAUUUCUCUUACCAUACAGCAGGAAGCAUCAGUACCAAAAGACUUCAUUUUGUUUAUACUAAGAGGGAAAAGAAUCCCUCUCAACAGAGUUCCAGGCACGUCGUCGUCGUUCCAAAGUCCAGCAGUGCCACAUAUGAAUCAGACACUGUUUUAGUUACUGUUCGUUCAGAUUGUCUCUGACUAGCGUAGAGCAGCUCCGCUUGAACUUUAGUCCAAACCUUCUUGAUUAAACAUUUUUAUAAAUCAAGUAGCCUAAUUGCAACGUCUUGGUAACUGCAAGUAUCAGAUGUACCAGAAUGUAACGAUGUCAAAUUUUGUUUUAAGUCAAGUCAAGCAGUUCCUGAAUGUGAGCCUAGAAGUGAUGAGCAAAGCAGAAUAAAUAAAACAAGCUGGCAAAGACUC